UUCGCAAUGCCCGAAAGGGUGACGAAGCGACGCCGCGUGGGUGAGGAAGGCCCUCGGGUUGUAAAGCCCUGUCAGGAGUUAAGAAAUGUAAGUGCGCUAAUAUCGCAUUUAUUUGACGAAGGCUCCAAAGGAAGCCACGGCUAACUCUGUGCCAGCAGCCGCGGUAAUACAGAGGUGGCAAGCGUUGUUCGGAAUUAUUGGGCGUAAAGAGCACGUAGGUGGGUUUGUAAGUCAGAUGUGAAAGCCUUCUGUUCAACGGAAGAAUUGCAUCUGAAACUACAAGUCUUGAGUGUAGGAGGGGAGAAUGGGACUUCUGGUGGAGCGGUGAAAUGCGUAGAUAUCAGAAGGAACGCCGGCGGCGAAAGCGAUUCUCUGGCCUAUUACUGACACUCAGUGUGCGAAAGCUAGGGGAGCAAACGGGAUUAGAUACCCCGGUAGUCCUAGCCGUAAACGAUGGGCACUAAGUAGAGGGGUUUU
rnacentral:rRNA from 1 species